rnacentral:rRNA from 1 species
UCAAAAAUUAAGCCAUGCAUGUCUAAGUACAGGCCUAAGCAAGGCGAAACCGCGAAUGGCUCAUUAAAUCAGUUAUGGUUCAUUGGAUCUUACCCUUUCUUACUUGGAUAACUGUGGUAAUUCUAGAGCUAAUACAUGCCAACCAGUAGCUCCGACACACUCCCGUGUGGAAGAGCGCUUUUAUUAGAUCAAAACCAGUCCUCCUUCGGGAGGUCAAACCCCUUCGUGGUGACUCUGAAUAACUUUUAGCUGAGCGCACGGUCUCCGCGCCGGCGCCGCAUCUUUCAAGUGUCUGCCUUAUCAGCUUUCGAUUGUAGGUUAUGCGCCUACAAUGGCUAUAACGGGUAACGGGAAUC